UCCCUCGCAGCUUCGCCGGUUGGCCAGAAAUUUUCCAAAAACCUCCACCCCUAGGCUGAAAACCCAAAAGAAGUUUUGCGCCCAGGAAGGGAAGAGAGGAGCUGGAGCGGGGCAGGCGGCGUUGUCCCCUCCACCGCAGACGCCCGCCCCCCGCGCCCCGCGCCUCCGCCCCCGGCCCUGGGCUCCGGCCCUGGGGACAGCUGGCAGCCCCGCGAGGGACCAGACACAAAGCGGAUCAAUCCGGCGGCGCGGGGGCGAGGACGCCCCGCCAGGGCUUCCCUUCCGCCCCUCGCCUCCUGCCUCCUCCUUAGGACCCAGCCGACACCCCGUCCGGCCUCCACGUCCCGCCUCCUCUCAAAGCCCCCACCCCCCAAAAAAUCAACAGCCCAGACCCCCAGCCACGGGCUGGCUAGGCCAGACCUGCCUCUCGUCAGCCGGCUGAGCGGGCGCCCUGGCCGGAGGAAACCGACGACGGCCAGGACCCGCCGCCCCUGCCCUGCUCGCCUAGUCCCCCAGCUCCGCUCCAGAAGUUCGGGGACCCAGCCUGCCCGGCCUCCCGCGCUCCCGCCGCCGUAUCCUCGGCUUCCCAGGCGCAGCUAGCGCGGACCCCGGGAAGAUGGCGAGGAGGAGCCGCCACCGCCUCCUCCUCCUGCUGCUGCGCUACCUGGUGGUCGCCCUGGGCUAUCAUAAGGCCUAUGGAUUCUCUGCCCCAAAAGACCAUCAAGUUGUCACAGCAAUAGAGUAUCAAGAGGUUAUUUUAGCCUGUAAAUACCCAAGGAAGACCACUUCCUCCAGAUUGGAGUGGAAGAAACUGGGGAGGAGUGUUUCCUUUGUCUAUUAUCAACAGGCUCUUCAAGGUGAUUUUAAAGAUCGAGCUGAGAUGAUAGAUUUCAGUAUACGGAUCAAAAAUGUUACAAGAAAUGACGCUGGGAAAUAUCGCUGUGAAGUUAGUGCCCCAUCUGAGCAAGGCCAAAACCUAGAAGAGGAUACGGUCACUCUAGAAGUAUUAGUGGCUCCAGGAGUUCCGUCCUGUGAAGUACCCAAUUCUGCUCUGAGUGGGACUGUGGUAGAGCUGCGAUGUCGGGACAAAGAAGGGAAUCCAGCUCCUGAGUACACAUGGUUUAAGGAUGGCAUUCGUUUGUUAGGAAAUCCAAAACUUGCCUCCCAAAGCACCAACAGCUCAUACACAAUGAAUACAAAAUCUGGAACUCUGCAAUUUAAUACCGUUUCAAAAGUGGACAGUGGAGAAUAUUCCUGUGAAGCACGGAAUUCUGUUGGCUAUCGUAGGUGUCCUGGGAAACGAAUGCAAGUAGACGAUCUCCACGUAAGCGGCAUCAUAGCAGCUGUGGUAGUCGUGGCCUUAGUGGUUUCUGUUUGUGGCCUUGGCGUGUGCUAUGCUCAGAGGAAAGGCUACUUUUCAAAAGAAACCUCCUUUCAACUGGCAAUACAACACUUAACAAAACAGGUCCCCCAAAACCCCCUGCAUCAUGGAGCUUACAUUGUAAUAGAGACAGCAGAAAGAAAACAAAUACAUAAACUCUACAGUAUGUCAGGGGGUGAUAACUACUAUGGAGAAAAAUAAAGCAGGUAAGAGAAUAGACAAUACAAUAGGCAAUUCAUAGGGUAGGAAUAGAGAUUAUCGUUCUAAAAAGGGUGGUUAGGGAGAACCUCACCGAUGAGGUGGCACUUAAGAAAAAUUUGAAGGAGCUGAAAUGAGUAAGUCAUGCAGACAUCAACAAAAAAAGUGCUCAAACAGAGGGGAGAGAACUAAUAGAAAGAUCUUGAGGCCAGGCAUGCCUGACAUAUCGAGGAACAUUAAGGGGGCCAGUGUGGCUGAAACAGAGUGAGGACAAUGGAGGGAGGAAUGAGUACACAGCAGUGGGGGGCCAGACUAUGGCCUUCUAGGCAGUUGCAAGGAGUUUGGCUUUGCUUCUGAUUAAGAUGGAAAUCAUGGGAGGGCUUUCUGUGGAAAAGUGGCAUCCUCUUUCUUAAUUCUUAGAAGCUCACACUGGCAUCCCUGCUGAGAAUAAACUGUAAGGUGACAAAGUAUGCAGAAAACAGGGAGGCCAGUGGGAAACUCUUUAAUAAUCUAGGCAAGAGAAAAUGGCAGCUGGUUCCAAAUCGGUGGUGUUGGAGAUGUUGAUAAGUGGUAGAAUUCUGAAUAUAUUUUAAACACUUUGUUGAUUGAUUAGAUAUGGGCUGUGAGAAAAAGAAAGAAAUCAGAGAUGGCUCCAAGGCUAUCAGAAGGAUGGAAUUACCAUUUACUGAAGUGUGAAAGAUUUCAGGAGGAGCAGGUUUGGGAGUGGUGGUAAGGGGAUAGGUGGAAAGGUCUGGAAUGUUUUGAAAUUUUAAUAUUUGAGAUGCUGGUUAGGAUUCCAAGAAGAGGUCAUGGGUAAAAGUAACUGAAUACAUAAAGCUGGAGUUUGGGGAAAUUAACUAGAGUUAGAAAUUCAGGAGUCACUAGCGCAUGAGAUCUGGAUAAGGAUCAGCGUUUAUGUGCACUUGAUCUGUAGGUGUGGGAAUGCAGACCCAGCUUUGGUUCUAUGGGCAUUCCCCUCUCCUCUGAGCUGCUGUGGUUCCAGGUACUUUGCCAUCGCCUAAGUCUUUUGAAGACUUGGCUGCCAUUGAUUCCUGUUCCCAGACUUCUUGCUCAACCCUGGUCCCUCAGUCUCAACAUAUCCCUGUCCAAGUGCAAGAUGAGGUUCAAGUUCUCAGAACUGGCAGUAGCAAAGGGGGUAAGAUUGGAAAGGCAGGGUAUCCUAUGGCAUAGCCACCUCCAAUCCACCCACUGUUAACAAAGUGCCACAGACUGGUUGGCUUAUACAGAAAUUAAUUUUCUUAUAGUUCUGGAGGCUAGAAGUCCAGAUCAAGGUCACAGCAGGGUUGGUUUCUUCUGAAGGCUGUAAAGGAAGGAUCUGUUCAGGUCUCUCUCCUUGGUUUACAGAUAAUUCCCUGUCUUCACAUUGUCUUCCCUCUGUCCAUGUUCGUGCCCAAAGUCUCUCAAUUAAGACCCCUGGAUUAGGGCCCAUCCUGAUGACCUCAUUUUAAUUUAGUCACCUCUUUAAAGACCCUGUUUCUAAGUACAGUCCCAUUCUGAGAUACUGAUAGUUGGGACUUCAGUGAUUUUUGAGGUGUACACAGUUCAACCCAUAACCCUACAUGUAAAACUUUCUUUCCAUGGAAAAUAAAAUUUGAGAUUAUAAUGGUCAAUCUUUCAAAAUGUUAAAUGUUAAUAAAUUGGCAAGUUAAAAGUGAGUAAGUCUCUGUUUUUUAUAUUCCACAAAAAUCUUUAGUAUAAUAGUCCUAGGCCACAAGUAGAUACACAGGGCAUCUCACACACUGAUUUUUUUGUUGCAUGGCUUUUCCUGUGAACAUUGUGUUGAAAUAUAAGAAAUUCAGUUAGGGGUUGCUGACUUUUUGUAUCCCGCUAAGAUAAAUGUUCAUCUUCCUGCUGAGAAAAUAUAUAGAGGUAACAUUAACUAAGAGGAUAUGUAUUUCACAAUUGGAAGUGAUAAUAUAGUAAAUGUUGUCUUUUAUAUUCCACAAACAGGAAGAGUAGUUCUGCAUCUAAAGUCACUACAAUGAGUGAAACUGAUUUCAAGCACACAAAAUCCUUUAUAAUUUAAAAGAAUUCCAUCUUUGAGACACACCACACCUCAGCUGUUAUACAUGUUAUUAAAAGUUGAUAAAAAAUGCUUUGUCUUACAUUUGCAAAGAGGUACAUGAAAUAAUGAAAUUGGUAUUUCGUUAAAAUUUGUAUGACCUCUAAAUCACUCGAAAGUGUUAUUUUAAACAAAUAGUUCUGUGAGCACCUAAAUAAAAUACAGUCUGGCUUCUUGUGUCUGGACUAAGUUCAAAGAAUCACAA